rnacentral:snRNA from 1 species
GUGCUUGCUUCAGCAGCACAUAUACUAAAAUUGGAACAAUACAGAGAAGGUUAGCAUGGUCCCUGCGCAAGGAUAACAGUAGCAUAAUAUACACUCCAGUUAG